UGCAGAAGGGGCGCGGCUCCUGCGUGUGUUGGAGGAUAGGAUUGAGAUCUGGCCACGCCUUAAUCACGACCGGAUUCGUUUGUGCACAGUGCGGAGCUGCAAAGACUGACUACACCAAGUAUGCCGGCCCUCAAGCUUCCUGGAAUUCUUUCUCCACCUUUCAUCUCCAAGUUCUGGGAGUGUGGAUGGAAUGAGCAUCUCCAAGCUAGCUUCUUAUCGUGUGAUUUAUUCCAAACUUCGGACUCCACCUUCAGAGUACCCGGUUCUGUUCAGCUCAGCAUCUUAGCUCCUCAAGAUCUCCAGGCCGUUUGCCCAAGUUCUCUCUGCAUUUAGCUGAGUGCGCCCUCUGCUGCUCACGUGCACGACUCAAAACUAUAAAGUCUAUGGACAUCAGCACAGGCAAUUGCCCAGUUUUUCAAGGUUUGGGACCCUACCUCACCCCCACUCUGUCUCUCCAGAAGAAUGAAACUCUUUGGCUUGGCCUGCAAGUCUUCGCUAAUCUGAGUCUGGACACUCUGAGAAAACCGGCCAUCCCUCUUCCUUGGCCCCUGGUCAUCUCCUGCACCCCAAGAGAGCAGAGUUGCCCUCUUCCCUUGCUGUCCUCCCCACUUCUGGCUCACAGGAGCCCCCUUCCCUUGAGCUCAACUUACUGGAGUCAGAGUGAGAGCUGGCCUUUCAGGAUUUGGGAGGACAUGGCCCUUCUGAGAUGGAUAAAGCGAUUGCUAGUCACCAAGCCAGAUAUCUGGAACCCACAUGAUAUAAGUCGAGAACCAACUCCAGAAAGUUGUACAUACACAC